rnacentral:misc_RNA from 1 species
AGAAAAUUGGUGCAUUGAUCGAAGAGAUUUAAGCAUGUCGUUGAUGAAGGGAGAGCCAUUGGUGAGGAAGAUCGCGCUGAUAGCUAAGUACGCAGUUUUUCCGGGAGCUAUGGCUGCUGCCGUGAUCUACUCUCCUCCCACUUAUGCUUCUUAUUUUAAGCCCCAAUCUUCUGCUUCAAAAUAAACUGGGGAUACCCUUUUGUUUUCCUCAUGGGGUUCUUUUUGACUUGCCGAAUGCUUCUGUUGCAGUAGGCUCUAUUUGUAAUAGACGUGGUAUGUAGUAAUAAUCCAAUGGCAGUUUGUUUCUGUACUCGAACUAUCGACUUUUGAAAAUCGGAAUAGACUCUAGCUCCUUUCUAUAUCAUGCGAAACUUUCUUCCAUCAUAUGUAUCCAAGUUCCUCACAAAGCUUGAAGGACAAGAAAAAAAUGAAAGAGUAACUAAUUCAUAAAUAAAUUUGAAGGUUUUUGUGUAUUGAAUCUUUAGUUGUACAGCUCAAACCAGAACUGGUCCACACG